rnacentral:lncRNA from 1 species
GGGGGGUACGAACGGGAACCUCGGCGGUGCUGCCGCGGUGGGGGCUCAGGUGAGACUGCAGGUUUGUUGGGAAACAGUUGCAGUGUCGGGGAGGAAUUAGCAGCUAAACCACAAACCUCGGGGGUUUGGGGUUCCCCGAGGAAGAUGCAGAGGGACUCCUGUGUGCCUGUGAGCUGAUCCUGGGUGUGGAAUCGGCUCUGCAUGGCCCAGUUUGGAACAGGCUGAUAAGGCUCCUUGUUUCUUAGCAACCCCAGCUCUGCCACAGCCAGCAACCUGCCCUUCUGCAGCUGGAGGGGAAAUUCUGAAUGUCUCAAAAGCAAAUCUUAAACCGAGGU